rnacentral:rRNA from 1 species
ACGGGAGGCAGCAGUGGGGAAUAUUGCACAAUGGGGGAAACCCUGAUGCAGCAACGCCGCGUGAGUGAUGAAGUAUUUCGGUAUGUAAAACUCUAUCAGCAGGGAAGAAGAUGACGGUACCUGACUAAGAAGCCCCGGCUAACUACGUGCCAGCAGCCGCGGUAAUACGUAGGGGGCAAGCGUUAUCCGGAUUUACUGGGUGUAAAGGGAGCGUAGACGGUAUGGCAAGUCUGAUGUGAAAACCCAGGGCUCAACCCUGGGACUGCAUUGGAAACUGUCAAACUAGAGUGCAGGAGAGGUAAGUGGAAUUCCUAGUGUAGCGGUGAAAUGCGUAGAUAUUAGGAGGAACACCAGUGGCGAAGGCGGCUUACUGGACUGUAACUGACGUUGAGGCUCGAAAGCGUGGGGAGCAAACAGGAUUAGAUACCCUGGUA